CGUGCAGGCGGUUUCGUAAGUUGCGCGUGAAAGCGCCCAGGCUCAACCGGGCGAGGACGCGCAAAACUGCGGAACUGGAGGCAGGCAGAGGCGUGUGGAAUUCCGGGUGUAGUGGUGAAAUGCGUAGAUAUCCGGAGGAACACCAGUGGCGAAGGCGACACGCUGGGCCUGAACUGACGCUCAGACGCGAAAGCAUGGGGAGCGAACG
rnacentral:rRNA from 1 species